UACGUAGGGUGCUAGCGUUACUCGGAAUCACUGGGCGUAAAGCGCGCGCAGGCGGCCCGUUAAGUUGGAUGUGAAAUCCUAUGGCUCAACCAUAGAACUGCAUCCAAAACUGAUGGGCUAGAGUCUGGGAGGGGAAGAUGGAAUUAGUGGUGUAGGGGUAAAAUCCGUAGAGAUCACUAGGAAUACCAAAAGCGAAGGCGAUCUUCUGGAACAGUACUGACGCUGAGGCGCGAAAGCGUGGGGAGCAAACAGG
rnacentral:rRNA from 1 species